UAAUUUUUUCAUUUGCAGAUU
rnacentral:piRNA from 1 species